GACGAACGCUGGCGGCGUGCUUAACACAUGCAAGUCGAACGGAAAGGCCCUGCUUUUGUGGGGUGCUCGAGUGGCGAACGGGUGAGUAACACGUGAGUAACCUGCCCUUGACUUUGGGAUAACUUCAGGAAACUGGGGCUAAUACCGGAUAGGAGCUCCUGCUGCAUGGUGGGGGUUGGAAAGUUUCGGCGGUUGGGGCUGGACUCGCGGCUUAUCAGCUUGUUGGUGGGGUAGUGGCUUACCAAGGCUUUGACGGGUAGCCGGCCUGAGAGGGUGACCGGCCACAUUGGGACUGAGAUACGGCCCAGACUCCUACGGGAGGCAGCAGUGGGGAAUAUUGCACAAUGGGCGGAAGCCUGAUGCAGCAACGCCGCGUGCGGGAUGACGGCCUUCGGGUUGUAAACCGCUUUCGCCUGUGACGAAGCGUGAGUGACAGUAAUGGGUAAAGAAGCACCGGCUAACUACGUG
rnacentral:rRNA from 1 species